rnacentral:rRNA from 1 species
GAUGAACGCUGGCGGCGUGCCUAAUACAUGCAAGUCGAGCGAACGGACGAGAAGCUUGCUUUUCUGAUGUUAGCGGCGGACGGGUGAGUAACACGUGGAUAACCUACCUAUAAGACUGGGAUAACUUCGGGAAACCGGAGCUAAUACCGGAUAAUAUUUUGAACCGCAUGGUUCAAAAGUGAAAGACGGUCUUGCUGUCACUUAUAGAUGGAUCCGCGCUGCAUUAGCUAGUUGGUAAGGUAACGGCUUACCAAGGCAACGAUGCAUAGCCGACCUGAGAGGGUGAUCGGCCACACUGGAACUGAGACACGGUCCAGACUCCUACGGGAGGCAGCAGUAGGGAAUCUUACGCAAUGGGCGAAAGCCUGACGGAGCAACGCCGCGUGAGUGAUGAGGGUCUUCGGAUCGUAAAACUCUGUUAUUAGGGAAGAACAUAUGUGUAAGUAACUGUGCACAUCUUGACGGUACCUAAUCAGAAAGCCGCGGCUAACUACGUG